CCUGUUGCGCAAUGUAUAUGGACACCCCUCGGUUUCAAGUAAGCUUGCGUCCUCCCUUGGCUUUAAAUGCUGUGCACCCCUUCGCCUGACCCCUAUCCCUUGAUCAAAAUGAGUAUUGGGACAGCUCCUAUUCUCACGUAAAUGCACCAAACUAAGGGGAAUGGGGAAGGGGUAAGACAGAGAAAUGAGAUUCAGCCAUUGUUUUAGUCUGUGGGGUUCUGCACAUUAGGCAGAAAAACAGGGUGCCAUGAAUGUAGUGAUGGAGCCAGACGACCCGAUGCCAAGAGAGUAGUGUCCAGCACAGCCCCAACUGGGGGCUAUACAAGGGAAACAGGAUAUUAUUCCUCGCUUUUAAAAACCCCUCUGCUAUCAGGAGACAGGGUCGGGGUGGUGGUCCGACACGGAGGGCGGAGGACGUGCUCUCCCUCACAGCUUACAGUUACCUGGCUCUGACUCAUAAAAAAAACACU